UGCGCACUUUGGACGUGGGCGCGUGUGUGGAAUGGGAGGAGGUCGCGCUGGCCGUGGGCGUCCCUGGCCUGCGCCGCCUAGAUCUGGUGUCAAAAGUGAGGAUCCAAAGUAAAACUCCAGUGACCCUCAGGAUCACCAGGUGACCAGGAGGCAAGUAGGUGUAUAAGGACACUUGAAGCUCAUUACACGUGGUACUCUAUGGAAGGAAGUGUCAAUGCUAUGGAAAACAACCCCGAUAGAGAGAACAUCAUGAGAGCUUGGAAUGAUUACAUCAUUGGCAAUGCCAUCAUUGUUAUAGAAAAGCCAUGAAAGCCAUCAAGCCUGAAACAACAAAUUCCUGCUGGAGAAUACUGUGUAUAGAUGUGCAUGGCUUCACAGGAUUUAUGACUGAGCCAAUCAACAAAAUCAUAAAAGGGGUUGUGCAUAUGGCAAAAAUAAAAAGGUGGGGGUAAAGGAUUUCAAGAUAUGGGUCUUGGAUUAAUUCAGGACCUAAUAAACGCUACACCAGAGAAAUUCACAAUGGAUGACUUGAUGGAGAUGAGUGCUUUCAAACCGGUGCCAGAUGAUGAGGAAGAAGGCAUAGAAGAUGCAGGGCCAGGAAACAAGUUGACUUUAGACACUCUGGGAGGAGGGAUCCAGUUAUUCAAGAAUGCUUUUGACUUCUUGUAUAUGACACGGACCCUUCUACGAUACAGGCAAUAAGAUUAAAGCAAAUGAUAAAGAAGAAUUAGUACUGUAUUAAAACAUUUUUAGAGAAAUGAGAAGACAGGAAUUCAGGUAGAAAUUAUGAUGUAAUUCUGUAAAGUUACACUGAAUGUGCCUGCUUCUUCUGACUCCUCUUCCACCUCCUCCAUAUCUUCCACCUCUGUCACCCCUAAGACAAAAAGACCAACCCCUCAUCUUCCUCCUUCUCAGCUUACUCAAUGCGAAAAGGAUAAAGAUCUUUAUGACGAUCCA